GCCUUCGUGGUGAAACGGUUAGCACACUCGGCACGUAUUCGAGAGGUCCAGGUUCGAAUCUCGACGAAGGCA
rnacentral:tRNA from 1 species